UCCCUGGUGGUCCAGUGGUUAAGACUCUGCACUUCCACUGCAGGAGGCGCAGGUCUGAUCCCCGGUCAGGGGA
rnacentral:tRNA from 1 species